rfam:Cyclospora cayetanensis strain CHN_HEN01 contig_894, whole genome shotgun sequence.
GGGUAGUUAACUCAAUGGUAGAGUAUAUACCUUACGAGUAUAAAGUUGUUGGUUCGAUUCUAACACUACCCA